AUUGAACGCUGGCGGCAGGCCUAACACAUGCAAGUCGAACGAGUGGCGGACGUGUCAGUAAUGUCUGGGAAACUGCCUGAUGGAGGGGGAUAACUACUGGGAACUGUAGCUACUACCGCAUACCAUCACCUGUGCCCCGAUGGGAUUAGCGAGUUGGUGGGGUAACGGCUCACCCAGGCGACGAUCCCUAGCUGGUCUGAGAGGAUGACCAGCCACACUGGAACUGAGACACGGUCCAGAGUCCUACGGGAGGCAGCAGUGGGGAAUAUUGCACAAUGGGCGCAAGCCUGAUGCAGCCAUGCCGCGUGUAUGAAGAAGGCCUUCGGGUUGUAAAGUACUUUCAGCGGGGAGGCGUUACCCGCAGAAGAAGCAACGGCUAACUCCGUGCCAGCAGCCGCGGUAAUUC
rnacentral:rRNA from 1 species